rnacentral:tRNA from 1 species
GGAUUGUGGCUCAGUGGUACAAUGCUCACCUAGGACGCGUGAGGCACUGGGUUCGAUCCUCAGCACCA